rnacentral:rRNA from 1 species
UAGGGAAUCUUCGGCAAUGGGGGCAACCCUGACCGAGCAACGCCGCGUGAGUGAAGAAGGUUUUCGGAUCGUAAAGCUCUGUUGUAAGAGAAGAACGUGUGUGAGAGUGGAAAGUUCACACAGUGACGGUAACUUACCAGAAAGGGACGGCUAACUACGUGCCAGCAGCCGCGGUAAUACGUAGGUCCCGAGCGUUGUCCGGAUUUAUUGGGCGUAAAGCGAGCGCAGGCGGUUUAAUAAGUCUGAAGUUAAAGGCAGUGGCUUAACCAUUGUUCGCUUUGGAAACUGUUAAACUUGAGUGCAGAAGGUGGGGGUGGAAUUCCAGGUGUAGCGGUGAAAUGCGUAGAUAUAUGGAGGAACACCGGUGGCGAAAGCGGCUCUCUGGUCUGUAACUGACGCUGAGGCUCGAAAGCGUGGGGAGCAAACAGG